rnacentral:rRNA from 1 species
CGUUGUGAAGCCUCUCGUGCGCUAGGGUGGUCGCCUUGGUGAGUUGUUUUCUUUGCUGAGGAGCGGCGGACGGGUGAGUAAUGGCUGCGAAAUUGCCCUGGUGUGGGGGAUAACCAUUGGAAACGAUGGCUAAUACCGCAUAAUCUCUUCGGAGCAAAGAGGGGGACCUUCGGGCCUCUCGCGUCAGGAUAUGCCUAGGUGGGAUUAGCUAGUUGGUGAGGUAAUGGCUCACCAAGGCGACGAUCCCUAGCUGGUCUGAGAGGAUGAUCAGCCACACUGGAACUGAGACACGGUCCAGACUCCUACGGGAGGCAGCAGUGGGGAAUAUUGCACAAUGGGCGCAAGCCUGAUGCAGCCAUGCCGCGUGUAUGAAGAAGGCCUUCGGGUUGUAAAGUACUUUCAGUCGUGAGGAAGGCAUUAACGUUAAUAGCGUUGGUGUUUGACGUUAGCGACAGAAGAAGCACCGGCUAACUCCGUGCCAGCAGCCGCGGUAAUACGGAGGGUGCGAGCGUUAAUCGGAAUUACUGGGCGUAAAGCGCAUGCAGGUGGUUCGUUAAGUCAGAUGUGAAAGCCCGGGGCUCAACCUCGGAAUUGCAUUUGAAACUGGCGGACUAGAGUACUGUAGAGGGGGGUAGAAUUUCAGGUGUAGCGGUGAAAUGCGUAGAGAUCUGAAGGAAUACCGGUGGCGAAGGCGGCCCCCUGGACAGAUACUGACACUCAGAUGCGAAAGCGUGGGGAGCAAACAGGAUUAGAUACCCUGGUAGUCCACGCCGUAAACGAUGUCUACUUGGAGGUUGUGGCCUUGAGCCGUGGCUUUCGGAGCUAACGCGUUAAGUAGACCGCCUGGGGAGUACGGUCGCAAGAUUAAAACUCAAAUGAAUUGACGGGGGCCCGCACAAGCGGUGGAGCAUGUGGUUUAAUUCGAUGCAACGCGAAGAACCUUACCUACUCUUGACAUCCAGAGAAGCCAGCAGAGAUGCAGUGUGCCUUCGGGAACUCUGAGACAGUGCUGCAUGGCUGUCGUCAGCUCGUGUUGUGAAAUGUUGGGUUAAGUCCCGCAACGAGCGCAACCCUUAUCCUUGUUUGCCAGCGAGUAAUGUCGGG